rnacentral:rRNA from 1 species
UGGGGAAUAUUGCACAAUGGGGGAAACCCUGAUGCAGCGACGCCGCGUGAACGAAGAAGGUAUUCGUAUCGUAAAGUUCUGUCCUAUGGGAAGAUAAUGACAGUACCAUAGAAGAAAGCUCCGGCUAAAUACGUGCCAGCAGCCGCGGUAAUACGUAUGGAGCGAGCGUUGUCCGGAAUUAUUGGGCGUAAAGGGUACGCAGGCGGUUGAAUAAGUCGAAUGUUAAAGAUCGGGGCUCAACCCCGUAAAGCAUUGGAAACUGAUAAACUUGAGUAGUGGAGAGGAAAGUGGAAUUCCUAGUGUAGUGGUGAAAUACGUAGAUAUUAGGAGGAAUACCAGUAGCGAAGACGACUUUCUGGACACAAACUGACGCUGAGGUACGAAAGCGUGGGGAGCAAACAGG